rnacentral:rRNA from 1 species
GGGUUGUGAGGUUAAGCGACUAAGCGUACACGGUGGAUGCCCUGGCAGUCAGAGGCGAUGAAGGGCGUGCUAAUCUGCGAUAAGCGCCGGUAAGGUGAUAUGAACCGUUAUAACCGGCGAUACCCGAAUGGGGAAACCCAGUGUGACUCGUCACACUAUCAUUAACUGAAUCCAUAGGUUAAUGAGGCGAACCGGGGGAACUGAAACAUCUAAGUACCCCGAGGAAAAGAAAUCAACCGAGAUUCCCCCAGUAGCGGCGAGCGAACGGGGAGGAGCCCAGAGCCUGAAUCAGCAUGUGUGUUAGUGGAAGCGUCUGGAAAGGCGCGCGAUACAGGGUGACAGCCCCGUACACAAAAGCGCAUGUGCUGUGAGCUCGAUGAGUAGGGCGGGACACGUGGUAUCCUGUCUGAAUAUGGGGGGACCAUCCUCCAAGGCUAAAUACUCCUGACUGACCGAUAGUGAACCAGUACCGUGAGGGAAAGGCGAAAAGAACCCCGGCGAGGGGAGUGAAAAAGAACCUGAAACCGUGUACGUACAAGCAGUGGGAGCACAGGUUUACCUGUGUGACUGCGUACCUUUUGUAUAAUGGGUCAGCGACUUAUAUUCUGUAGCAAGGUUAACCGAAUAGGGGAGCCGCAGGGAAACCGAGUCUUAAUUGGGCGUUAAGUUGCAGGGUAUAGACCCGAAACCCGGUGAUCUAGCCAUGGGCAGGUUGAAGGUUGGGUAACACUAACUGGAGGACCGAACCGACUAAUGUUGAAAAAUUAGCGGAUGACCUGUGGCU